rnacentral:tRNA from 1 species
GCCUUGAUGGUGAAAUGGUAGACACGCGAGACUCAAAAUCUCGUAAAGAGCGUGGAGGUUCGAGUCCUCUUCAAGGCA